AAACUAACAAGGAUUCCCCUAGUAACGGCGAGUGAAGCGGGAUGAGCUCAAAUUUAAAAUCUUGCAGCCUCAGGUUGUACGAGUUGUAGUCUAGAGAAUCGUUUUCCGCGUUGGCCUGUGUACAAGUCCCUUGGAACAGGGCGUCAUAGAGGGUGAGAAUCCCGUCCUUGACACAGAUUACCAAUGCUUUGUGAUGCGAUCUCAAAGAGUCGAGUUGUUUGGGAAUGCAGCUCAAAAUGGGUGGUAAAUUCCAUCUAAAGCUAAAUAUUGGCGAGAGACCGAUAGCGAACAAGUACCGUGAGGGAAAGAUGAAAAGCACUUUGGAAAGAGAGUUAAACAGUACGUGAAAUUGUUAAAAGGGAAACGAUUGAAGUCAGUCAUGCUCUCCGAGACUCAGCCGAUUCUGUCGGUGUACUUCUCGGUUGGCAGGCCAGCAUCAGUUUUGAUCUGUGGAAAAGGUUGGAGGGAACGUGGCAUCUUCGGAUGUGUUAUAGCCCUCUUUCGAAUACACAGAGCGGGACUGAGGAACGCAGCGCGCCUUUUAUUAGGUUGGCCUUCGGGUACAUACGCGCUUAGGAUGCUGGCAUAAUGGCUUUAAACGAC
rnacentral:rRNA from 1 species